CAGAGCCUGAAUCAGUAUGUGUGUUAGUGGAAGCGUCUGGAAAGGCGCGCGAUACAGGGUGACAGCCCCGUACACAAAAAUGCACAUGCUGUGAGCUCGAUGAGUAGGGCGGGACACGUGGUAUCCUGUCUGAAUAUGGGGGGACCAUCCUCCAAGGCUAAAUACUCCUGACUGACCGAUAGUGAACCAGUACCGUGAGGGAAAGGCGAAAAGAACCCCGGCGAGGGGAGUGAAAAAGAACCUGAAACCGUGUACGUACAAGCAGUGGGAGCACGCUUAGGCGUGUGACUGCGUACCUUUUGUAUAAUGGGUCAGCGACUUAUAUUCUGUAGCAAGGUUAACCGAAUAGGGGAGCCGAAGGGAAACCGAGUCUUAACUGGGCGUUAAGUUGCAGGGUAUAGACCCGAAACCCGGUGAUCUAGCCAUGGGCAGGUUGAAGGUUGGGUAACACUAACUGGAGGACCGAACCGACUAAUGUUGAAAAAUUAGCGGAUGACUUGUGGCUGGGGGUGAAAGGCCAAUCAAACCGGGAGAUAGCUGGUUCUCCCCGAAAGCUAUUUAGGUAGCGCCUCGUGAAUUCAUCUCCGGGGGUAGAGCACUGUUUCGGCAAGGGGGUCAUCCCGACUUACCAACCCGAUGCAAACUGCGAAUACCGGAGAAUGUUAUCACGGGAGACACACGGCGGGUGCUAACGUCCGUCGUGAAGAGGGAAACAACCCAGACCGCCAGCUAAGGUCCCAAAGUCAUGGUUAAGUGGGAAACGAUGUGGGAAGGCCCAGACAGCCAGGAUGUUGGCUUAGAAGCAGCCAUCAUUUAAAGAAAGCGUAAUAGCUCACUGGUCGAGUCGGCCUGCGCGGAAGAUGUAACGGGGCUAAACCAUGCACCGAAGCUGCGGCAGCGACGCUGAUGCGUUGUUGGGUAGGGGAGCGUUCUGUAAGCCUGCGAAGGUGUGCUGUGAGGCAUGCUGGAGGUAUCAGAAGUGCGAAUGCUGACAUAAGUAACGAUAAAGCGGGUGAAAAGCCCGCUCGCCGGAAGACCAAGGGUUCCUGUCCAACGUUAAUCGGGGCAGGGUGAGUCGACCCCUAAGGCGAGGCCGAAAGGCGUAGUCGAUGGGAAACAGGUUAAUAUUCCUGUACUUGGUGUUACUGCGAAGGGGGGACGGAGAAGGCUAUGUUGGCCGGGCGACGGUUGUCCCGGUUUAAGCGUGUAGGCUGGUUUUCCAGGCAAAUCCGGAAAAUCAAGGCUGAGGCGUGAUGACGAGGCACU
rnacentral:rRNA from 1 species